rnacentral:rRNA from 1 species
AUGACAACCAUCCGAAAAACUCACCCGCUAUUUAAAAUUAUUAACCACUCAUUCAUUGACCUCCCUGCCCCAUCCAACAUCUCAUCAUGAUGAAACUUCGGUUCACUACUAGGAGUUUGCCUAAUUAUCCAAAUCAUUACAGGUUUAUUCUUAGCAAUACAUUACACAUCAGAUACCAUAACAGCAUUCUCAUCAGUAACUCAUAUUUGCCGAGACGUAAAUUACGGAUGACUAAUCCGAUACAUACACGCAAACGGAGCAUCAAUAUUCUUCAUUUGUCUAUUCCUUCAUGUAGGACGAGGAAUGUACUAUGGGUCCUAUACCUUCAUAGAAACAUGAAAUAUCGGAGUCAUCCUACUAUUUGCAGUAAUAGCCACCGCAUUCAUAGGAUACGUACUUCCAUGAGGACAAAUAUCAUUCUGAGGAGCAACAGUAAUUACAAACCUACUCUCAGCAAUUCCAUAUGUUGGCACCACUCUAGUAGAAUGAAUUUGAGGAGGAUUUUCAGUAGAUAAAGCAACACUAACACGUUUCUUCGCAUUCCACUUUAUUCUCCCAUUCAUUAUCGCAGCCCUAGUUAUCGUCCAUCUUCUAUUCCUCCACGAAACAGGUUCAAAUAACCCAACAGGCCUAAAUUCCGACUCAGACAAAAUCCCAUUUCACCCAUACUAUACUAUUAAAGACAUUCUUGGAGUCAUUAUAAUAAUCUUAUUUCUAAUAACCUUAGUCUUAUUCUUCCCAGACUUACUAGGAGACCCAGACAAUUACACACCAGCUAACCCACUCAAUACUCCCCCACAUAUUAAACCAGAAUGAUACUUCCUAUUUGCUUAUGCUAUCCUACGAUCAAUCCCCAAUAAAUUAGGAGGAGUCCUAGCCCUAAUUCUAUCCAUUCUAGUUUUAGCCUUUCUCCCAUUCCUACACACAUCCAAACAACGAAGUUUAAUAUUUCGCCCUAUCACUCAAACUCUUUAUUGAAUCCUAGUCGCUAACCUACUAGUCCUAACCUGAAUUGGGGGCCAACCAGUAGAACAUCCAUUUAUUAUCAUUGGUCAAAUUGCAUCAAUUACAUAUUUCUCUAUUAUCCUAAUCCUCAUACCAAUCUCAGGAAUCAUUGAAGACAACAUACUUAAAUGAAGCYAAUGUCCUAAUAGUAUAAACCAUUACUUUG